AGGGAAUCUUCGGCAAUGGGGGCAACCCUGACCGAGCAACGCCGCGUGAGUGAAGAAGGUUUUCGGAUCGUAAAGCUCUGUUGUAAGUCAAGAACGGGUGUGAGAGUGGAAAGUUCACACUGUGACGGUAGCUUACCAGAAAGGGACGGCUAACUACGUGCCAGCAGCCGCGGUAAUACGUAGGUCCCGAGCGUUGUCCGGAUUUAUUGGGCGUAAAGCGAGCGCAGGCGGUUUGAUAAGUCUGAAGUUAAAGGCUGUGGCUCAACCAUAGUUCGCUUUGGAAACUGUCAAACUUGAGUGCAGAAGGGGAGAGUGGAAUUCCAUGUGUAGCGGUGAAAUGCGUAGAUAUAUGGAGGAACACCGGUGGCGAAAGCGGCUCUCUGGUCUGUAACUGACGCUGAGGCUCGAAAGCGUGGGGAGCGAACAGGAUUAGAUACCCUGGUAGUCCACGCCGUAAACGAUGAGUGCUAGGUGUUGGAUCCUUUCCGGGAUUCAGUGCCGAAGCUAACGCAUU
rnacentral:rRNA from 1 species